ACGGGAGGCAGCAGUCGGGAAUAUUGCGCAAUGGAGGAAACUCUGACGCAGUGACGCCGCGUAUAGGAAGAAGGUUUUAGGAUUGUAAACUAUAUUAGUCAGGGAAGAAAAAAGACAGUACCUGAAGAAUAAGCUCCGGCUAACGACGUGCCAGCAGCCGCGGUAAUACGUAGGGAGAAAGCGUUAUCCGGAAUUAUUGGGUGUAAAGGGUGCGUAGACGGGAAUACAAGUUGGUUGUGAAAUCCCUCGGCUCAACUGAGGAACUGCAACCAAAACUAUAUUUCUUGAGUGCAGGAGAUGAAAGCGGAAUUCCUAGUGUAGCGGUGAAAUGCGUAGAUAUUAGGAGGAACACCAGUGGCGAAGGCGGCUUUCUGGACUGUAACUGACGUUGAGGCACGAAAGUGUGGGGAGCAAACAGGAUUAGAUACCGGUA
rnacentral:rRNA from 1 species